GCCAGCAUGGCAGAGUGGUUUAAGUGUUGGACUAUGACUCUGGAGUCCAGGGUUCAAAUCACAGCUCAGCCA